rnacentral:rRNA from 1 species
AGAGUUUGAUCCUGGCUCAGGACGAACGCUGGCGGUGUGCUUCACACAUGCAAGUCGAGCGAAUGAAGAAGGUAGCUUGCUACUUUUGGAUUUAGCGGCGGACGGGUGAGUAAUAUAUAGGAAUCUGCCCUAGAGCGGGGAACAACAGACCGAAAGGUUUGCUAAUGCCCCAUAGGUACGCAGUCUUCGGAUUGUUUAUUAAAGGAGUAAUCCACUCUAGGAUGAGCCUGUAUCCGAUUAGCUAGUUGGCGGGGUAAAGGCCCACCAAGGCUACGAUCGGUAGUUGGUCUGAGAGGAUGAUCAGCCACAAUGGGACUGAGACACGGCCCAUACUCCUACGGGAGGCAGCAGUGGGGAAUUUUACACAAUGGGGGAAACCCUGAUGUAGCGACACCGCGUGAACGAAGAAGCCUUUUGGGGUGUAAAGUUCUGUCGGCUGGAACGAAAAAAAUGACGGUACCAGCAAAGGAAGCAUCGGCUAACUACGUGCCAGCAGCCGCGGUAAGACGUAGGAUGCAAGCGUUGUCCGGAUUUAUUGGGCGUAAAGAGUUCGUAGGCGGUUAUUUAAGUCUGGUGUUAAAUACUGUGGCCCAACCACAGAACUGCAUUGGAUACUGGAUGACUUGAGUGCGGUAGAGGCGAGUGGAAUUCCCAGUGUAGCGGUGAAAUGCGUA